rnacentral:rRNA from 1 species
CCUACGGGAGGCAGCAGUGGGGAAUAUUGCACAAUGGGGGAAACCCUGAUGCAGCAACGCCGCGUGAAGGAAGAAGGUCUUCGGAUUGUAAACCUCUGUUAGUAGGGAAGAAUAAUGACGGUAGCGAAGGAGCAAGCCACGGCUAACGACGUGCAAGCAGCCGCGGUAAUAGGUGGGGGGCAGGCGUUGUCCGGAAUUACUGGGGGUAAAGGGAGCGCAGGGGGGAAGCCAAGUCAGCUGUGAAAACUACGGGCUUAACUUGUAGACUGCAGUUGAAACUGGGUUUCUUGAGUGAAGUAGGGGCUGGCGGAAUUCCUGGUGUAGCGGUGAAAUGCGUAGAUAUCCGGAGGAACACCGGUGGCGAAGGCGGCCUACUGGGCUUUAACUGACGUUGAGGCUCGAAAGUGUGGGGAGCAAACAGGAUUAGAUACCCCUGUAGUC